AGCGAACGCUGGCGGCAGGCCUAAUACAUGCAAGUCGAACGAGCCCUUCGGGGCUAGUGGCGGACGGGUGAGUAACACGUGGGAACGUGCCCUUUGGUUCGGAACAACUCAGGGAAACUUGAGCUAAUACCGGAUGUGCCCUUACGGGGAAAGAUUUAUCGCCAUUGGAGCGGCCCGCGUCUGAUUAGCUAGUUGGUGGGGUAAAGGCCCACCAAGGCUACGAUCAGUAGCUGGUCUGAGAGGAUGAUCAGCCACACUGGGACUGAGACACGGCCCA
rnacentral:rRNA from 1 species